rnacentral:rRNA from 1 species
UACGAAGGGUGCUAGCGUUGUUCGGAAUCACUGGGCGUAAAGCGCGCGUAGGCGGCUUUGCUAGUCAGGGGUGAAAUGCCAAGGCUUAACCUUGGAACUGCCUUUGAAACUGCAAAGCUGGAGUACUGGAGGGGAUAGCGGAAUUGCUAAUGUAGAGGUGAAAUUCGUAGAUAUUAGCAGGAACACCGGUGGCGAAGGCGGCUAUCUGGACAGUAACUGACGCUUAGGCGCGAAAGCGUGGGGAUCAAACAGG